rnacentral:rRNA from 1 species
AUUGAACGCUGGCGGCAGGCCUAACACAUGCAAGUCGAGCGGAUGAAGGGAGCUUGCUCCUGGAUUCAGCGGCGGACGGGUGAGUAAUGCCUAGGAAUCUGCCUGGUAGUGGGGGAUAACGUCCGGAAACGGGCGCUAAUACCGCAUACGUCCUGAGGGAGAAAGUGGGGGAUCUUCGGACCUCACGCUAUCAGAUGAGCCUAGGUCGGAUUAGCUAGUUGGUGGGGUAAAGGCCUACCAAGGCGACGAUCCGUAACUGGUCUGAGAGGAUGAUCAGUCAAACUGGAACGGAGACACGGUCCAGACUCCUACGGGAGGGAGCAGGGGGGAAUAUUGGACAAUGGGCGAAGUCCUGAUCCAGCCAUGCCGCGUGUGUGAAGAAGGUCUUCGGAUUGUAAAGCACUUUAAGUUGGGAGGAAGGGCAGUAAGUUAAUACCUUGCUGUUUUGACGGUACCAACAGAAUAAGCACCGGCUAACUUCGUG